UACGUAGGGUGCAAGCGGUAAUCGGAAUUACUGGGCGUAAAGCGUGCGCAGGCGGUUAUGUAAGACAGAUGUGAAAUGCCCGGGCUUAACCUGGGAACUGCAUUUGUGACUGCAUGGCUAGAGUUUGGCAGAGGGGGGUAGAAUUCCACGUGUAGCAGUGAAAUGCGUAGAUAUGUGGAGGAACACCGAUGGCGAAGGCAGCCCCCUGGGUCAAGACUGACGCUCAUGCACGAAAGCGUGGGGAGCAAACAGG
rnacentral:rRNA from 1 species